rnacentral:rRNA from 1 species
UCAGUCGACUCCUACGGGGAGCAGCAGUGGGGAAUAUGCACAAUGGGGGAAACCCUGAUGCAGCCAUGCCGCGUGUGUGAAGAAGGCCUUCGGGUUGUAAAGCACUUUCAGUAGGGAGGAAGGUAGUGUAGUUAACACCUGCAUUAUUUGACGUUACCUACAGAAGAAGCACCGGCUAACUCCGUGCCAGCAGCCGCGGUAAUACGGAGGGUGCGAGCGUUAAUCGGAAUUACUGGGCGUAAAGCGCAUGCAGGCGGCCUGUUAAGUCAGAUGUGAAAGCCCGGGGCUUAACCUCGGAAUUGCAUUUGAAACUGGCAGGCUAGAGUCUUGUAGAGGGGGGUAGGAAUUUCAGGUGUAGCGGUGAAAUGCGUAGAGAUCUGAAGGAAUACCAGUGGCGAAGGCGGCCCCCUGGACAAAGACUGACGCUCAGAUGCGAAAGCGUGGGGAGCAAACAGGAUUAGAUACCCUGGUAG